rnacentral:rRNA from 1 species
GACGAACGCUGGCGGCGUGCCUAACACAUGCAAGUCGAGCGAAGCAUCCGGAGGGCUUGCCCGAAGGAUGACUUAGCGGCGGACGGGUGAGUAACGCGUGAACAAUCUGGCCUUUACAGGGGGAUAACAACCGGAAACAGUUGCUAAUACCGCAUAUGACCACAGUAUCGCAUGAUACAGGGGUGAAAGAAAUAUCGGUAAAGGGGGAGUUCGCGUCCCAUUAGUUAGUUGGUGAGGUAACGGCUCACCAAGGCGACGAUGGGUAGCCGACCUGAGAGGGUGAACGGCCACAUUGGAACUGAGACACGGUCCAAACUCCUACGGGAGGCAGCAGUGGGGAAUAUUGGGCAAUGGGCGAAAGCCUGACCCAGCAACGCCGCGUGAGUGAUGAAGGUCUUCGGAUCGUAAAAACUCUGUUGUAAAGGAAGAAUGUCAUAUAUAGGAAAUGAUAUAUGAGUGACGGUACUUUACUAGAAAGUCACGGCUUACUACGUGCCAGCAGCCGACGG